GAGCGGAGUAAUCCCCGAUGGUGACACUGAAAGUGCAAUUCCAUCAACUGCAGGAGACGCCGAGCCAUCCGAAAAUGAUCUGCCAGUUUUGCCAGGUCCUGCUCCGCCUGCCACUUCAGCACGUCCGAUGCGUCUCGAGGCACGAGUCCUGACUGAUGCGGUUCUGAAAACACAGGAGGAAUUAGUGAGAGGCAUUGCAAGCAUAAAAGAAGAACUGCACCAAAUCAAUGUGAACUUGAGGAACAUUUGUGAUGCACUAAAUGCAUCAUGCAAGUUCAAUAAAAGCUCCAAUUGAUCUCA